rnacentral:lncRNA from 1 species
UCAUCUUAUAGUAGCAAAAUGAUUAACAAAAGGCAGAAUCUCUCUGCUUUCUAUUACAUGUUCAUCUUCAUACUUCUACUUAGUGUUUUUUCACGCGCAGUGCCAGAAACUAGAGAUACAAUUAUGCGCAAAAAAACUUACCCUUCUCCUUCUUUGAUCAAUAAUCGCGGAGAAAUGAUAAACGAGAUUGAGGAGGAGAGAGGGUGUGUUAAAGCUUGCAUUCUUGAAAAUGAAUGUAACAAUGAGAGAAAUGAUUUUUAUGUGUACCAUGUUUGUGUUGAUGUAUGUAUUAAGAGCUGCAGGGGCUAUGGCAAAGAAUUGCUUCAACUUCCUAUAAUAUGAAUAUGGAUUUACUUUUCUAUACUCACAGUGUACCAUGUACGUUAUACCAAACACCCCCUUUAUGUAUAUUAUUACAGAUAUUGUGUUUUGCUUCAUUUCUAUUAGCAGGCUAAGCAGAAAUUCCACAUAAGUUGUCUUACUAAAGUGAAAACUGAGCUUUACUCACUAUAAUAAUAAAGUAGCAAUGUUUUCUUUGUUAGACUCAUAAAAUGCAUUUUUUCCUCUAUUAUAACUAGGGGAGGAGGCCGAAUCCAGUAGCUUUUGUUCUCAUGAAAUAUGUAUAAAUAUUAAAUUUAGAAAUUAAUCAUUAACACUAAAAGUCGUGAUCCCAAUAUCUAAAACCCAUAAGGUUAAAAUCUAUGGGUUAAAAUCAUAGCUCCGCCUCAGAUUAGAACAUCAACUUUCAAUAUAACCUGACACAAUCUACUGUACUAUUCGGGUUGUAGCCAUGAGUAUGGAAAAUUCUUGCUGAAAAACGCUUCCCCCGAAAGGGCUCUAUACGGUGUGAUCUAAAUAUAAUUGGACUCCGAUACCAGACACCAGAUGGAAACUAAAAAAUAAAGGUUGCAGUCCUACAUAUAAUAUCACCCUUCUCCUCAUACAUUACAUGUUGCUAAAACAUCAGAACUAUAACUUAGUGACGUUUUUUCCUAUAUAGACGAAUUGCAAUAUUCAGGAACAAAACUUUCGCAGCAUUCGCUUAACACAAAAAACUGGAAAGCCAGAGAAAGAACAGUAUAUGCAACAUCACAUCUAAUUUCUAAAAGUAAAAAUAAAAUAAAAUAAAAUAAAAUCCCUUGAAUAGACGGACCAUAUCAAACAUGACUCAUUCUUCCCUUCCCUAGUGGAUUCUGUUCUUUUUCUUGUGAAUUUUUUAAUUUAGCUAUUUAUUUGACUUGAAUAAUUCCUGCACUAACCAACUUCUGGAUCUUGUUCAUCACAAGGGGGUUCUUCAUAUGUUCCUGUGCAGCUUUGGGGUUCUCCUGGAAGUCAACUAAUA